UAGGGAAUCUUCCACAAUGGGCGGAAGCCUGAUGGAGCAACGCCGCGUGUGUGAUGAAGGGUUUCGGCUCGUAAAACACUGUUGUAAGAGAAGAAUGACAUUGAGAGUAACUGUUCAAUGUGUGACGGUAUCUUACCAGAAAGUCACGGCUAACUACGUGCCAU
rnacentral:rRNA from 1 species